UACGGAGGGUGCAAGCGUUGUCCGGAAUCACUGGGCGUAAAGGGCGCGUAGGCGGCUCAUGAAGGCUGUGGUGAAAGUCCGGGGCUCAACCUCGGAUCGGCCGUGGCGACUCGUGGGCUGGAGCACUGUAGAGGCGGGUGGAAUUCCGGGUGUAGCGGCGGAAUGCGUAGAGAUCCGGAAGAACACCAGUGGCGAAGGCGGCCCGCUGGGCAGUGGCUGACGCUGAGGCGCGACAGCGUGGGGAGCAAACAGG
rnacentral:rRNA from 1 species